AUGCGAGCUUUGAGAUUAUUUGAUGCAUCGACCAUAGUAUCUGGUUCCACUGACAACUCGUUCAAGCUUUGGGACUUGUCUAUGAAUCAAGCAAGAGUAAUUGACAAUCCAAUUCAGACUUCUACAGGGCAUAUAAAUACAAAGAUUAUUGACAGAUAUUUCUGUGUACUGUCUGCCCAGACACUUCCGAAAGUCGAACAGAAAUGGCGAAGAACUCCCACGAGAGAUGUACACAUUAUUAUGAAUGAUGGGCAGCUAAUCGGCGGAGUUGGUGUUCUUUGCGACAGUGGCAUUGCUGGUGGCUGUAGAGAAAGCUCUCUUAUACAUGUGCACUGUCCGUUAUGCAUUUCUGUAAUGCUGUCUUAUUUUUCCCAGCAGGAAGAUGCAUUUGUGUAUGUGCAUUGCCUGUAA
rnacentral:rRNA from 1 species